CGGGAUGAUGAGCCGAGAUAGGAAGUGCCGUCAGAUGCGAGAACUGACGAGAAAUUCCUCGUGGCUGACC